rnacentral:rRNA from 1 species
UACGAAGGUGGCAAGCGUUGUUCGGAUUUACUGGGCGUACAGGGAGCGUAGGCGGUUGGAUAAGCCCUCCGUGAAAUCUCCAGGCUUAACCUGGAAAGCGCAGAGGGUACUGCCAGGCUAGAGGACGGGAGAGGAGCGCGGAAUUCCCGGUGUAGCGGUGAAAUGCGUAGAGAUCGGGAGGAAGGCCGGUGGCGAAGGCGGCGCUCUGGAACGUUACUGACGCUGAGACACGAAAGCGUGGGGAGCAAACAGG